AAUGGUCUGGGGAAAGGCUCCUGUGUUGCUGAACCUGCCCAGUUGUGGGUGCAGCCUGGUACCAGGUAGCCCAACUCCACCAUAAAGUAAGUUCCCAGAAGUCUUUCCUGGGAUUUGAAUUUGCAAUAACAGGUGUGAGCAUUCUAGUGGCAGUUUGAUGAUCACGUAUGAUAAUGCAAACAGGA
rnacentral:snoRNA from 1 species